rnacentral:lncRNA from 1 species
CAGUCUAUAAUUACUCAGUUAAAGAUGCUUAGCAGUAUGUCGCUGGUGGAAUAAUAAAUUAUUAUAAUAAAAAAUGUCAACUUUGUGAAUAUUGUGAAAGUAUAGACUAUUCUGGCAUGUUGAUACCAUGGCUGUUUUAACAUUUAUAUGAUUUAUAAAUUCAAAUCCUUCUGGCACACUUUUAGAGUUCAUUUUAUAAAUCAAUUUAUUGAAAUAUAUUGAUCAAUGCAUUUAAUAAGUACUCUUCUGGUACAAAAGCAGGCUUGUAAUUCCAUGUGGAAAAAUCGAAUUUCUUCCAAAAAUGCCCAAGUUUCAACCAAGUUGAUAUUUUUUAAAAGAACUU